rnacentral:rRNA from 1 species
UACGAAGGGAGCUAGCGUUGUUCGGAAUCACUGGGCGUAAAGCGCACGUAGGCGGAUGUGUCAGUCAGGGGUGAAAAUCCCGGAGCUCAACUUCGGAACUGCCUUUGAUACAGCACAUCUGGAGUCCGGAAGAGGUGGGUGGAAUUCCUAGUGUAGAGGUGAAAUUCGUAGAUAUUAGGAAGAACACCGGUGGCGAAGGCGGCCCACUGGUCCGGUACUGACGCUGAGGUGCGAAAGCGUGGGGAGCAAACAGG